AUGGCUGGCGGCAUGGCUCCGCUGGGGGUGAAGAAGGAGAGGGCGACGGAGUACAAGGGCCAAAUGACGCUCGCCGUCGCCAUGGCCUGCGUCGUCGCUGCCAUCGGGGGCUCCAUCUUCGGCUACGACAUCGGGAUCUCCGGAGUGAACACCAUGGACCCGUUCCUCGAGAGGUUCUUCCCGGCGGUGUUCCGGCGAAAGAACUUGGUAAGCUUAGACAACUACUGCAAGUACGACAACCAGGCCCUCUCUGCCUUCACCUCCAUCCUCUAUCUCUCCGGCCAAGUCUCUACACUUGCGGCCGCGCCGGUGACAAGGAACUACGGCCGUCGUGCCAGCAUUAUCUGCGGCGGCAUCAGCUUUCUUAUCGGCGCAGCCCUUAACGCGGCGGCUGUGAACCUCACGACGUUAAUCCUCGGCCGCGUCAUGCUUGGCGUCGGCAUCGGUUUCGGCAAUCAGGCUGUGCCGCUGUACUUGUCCGAGAUGGCGCCGGCGCACCUCCGCGGCGGGCUGAACAUGAUGUUCCAGCUCGCGACGACGCUUGGCAUCUUCUCGGCGAACAUGAUCAACUAUGGCACGCUAAAAAUCAAGCCGUGGGGUUGGCGUCUCUCGCUGUUGCUGAUGACGGUCGGCGGGAUCCUCCUCCCGGAGACGCCGAACAGCCUCAUCGAGCGCGGGCGCGUCGAGGAGGGUCGGCGUGUGCUGGAGCUGAUCCGAGGAACCGCGGACGUCGACGCUGAGUUCACGGACAUGGCGGAGGCGAGUGAACUGGCCAACACCAUCAAGCACCCGUUCCGGAACAUCCUCGAGCGGCGCAACCGGCCGCAGCUGGUUAUGGCCGUGUGCAUGCCGGCAUUCCAGGUCCUAACGGGCAUAAACUCCAUCCUCUUCUACGCGCCGGUGCUGUUCCAGAGCAUGGGCUUUGGCGCCAGCUGGUCCCUCUACUCCUCCAUGCUCACCGGUGCCGUGCUCUUGUUCUCCACGCUCAUUUCCAUCGCCACCGUCGACCGCCUCGGUAGGAGGAAGCUACUCAUCAGCGGCGGCAUCCAGAUGAUCGUUUGCCAGGUGAUCGUGGCGGCGAUACUGGCGUUGAAGUUCGACGCAGACAAGCAUCUGUCGCGGGGCUGCUCGAUCGCGGUAGUGUUCGUGAUCUGCCUCUUCAUGCUCGCGUUCGGGUGGUCGUGGGGUCCGCUCGGGUGGACGGUGCCGAGCGAGAUCUUCGCCCUGGAGACGCGGUCGGCGGGGCAGAGCAUCACGGUGGCCGUCAACCUCUUCUUCACCUUCAUCAUCGCGCAGGCGUUCCUGUCGCUGCUCUGCGCCUUCAAGUUCGCCAUCUUCAUCUUCUUCGCUGCGUGGAUCGCCGUCAUGACCGCCUUCGUCUAUGUCUUCCUGCCGGAGACCAAGGGCGUGCCCAUCGAGCAGAUGGUGCUGCUCUGGAGCAAGCACGGGUUCUGGAAGAACGUCAUGCCGGACAUGCCACUCGAGGACGGAUGGGGACCCGGUGGGGACAGUGCUCUUACCGAUGGCAACAUUCACAAGUGA
rnacentral:rRNA from 1 species